rnacentral:tRNA from 1 species
CAGGAAAUAGUUUAUAUCAAAACAAUAAUUUUGGAGAUUGUAAAAAACUUUUAUUUAGUUUUUCCUGA